rnacentral:rRNA from 1 species
GACGAACGCUGGCGGCGUGCUUAACACAUGCAAGUCGAACGGAAAGGCCCGGCGUUUGUGGGGUGCUCGAUUGGCGAAGGGGGGAGUAACACGUGAGUAACAUGCCCUUGACAUUGGGAGAAAUUCACGAAACUGGGGCUAAUACCGGAUAGAAGCUCUUGCUGCAUGGUGGGGGAUGGAAAGAGUCGGCGGUUGGGGAUGGACUCGCGGCUUAUGAGCUUGUUGGUGGGGUAGUGGCUGCCCAGGGCUUUGACGGGUAGGCGGCCUGAGAGGGUGACCGGGCACAAUGGUACUGAGGGACGGCGCAGAAGCCUACCGGACGCAGCAGGGGAGAACAUUGCACAACGGGCCGAAGCGUGAUGUAGCAGUCUCCCGUGCGGGAAGCUCGGCUACGGGUGGUAAACCGAUUUGGCAUGUAACGAAGAGUGAGUGACGGUACCGAAUAAAGAAGCCCCGGCUAACUACGUG